UGGGGAAUAUUGGACAAUGGGCGCAAGCCUGAUCCAGCCAUGCCGCGUGAGUGAUGAAGGCGCUAGGGUUGUAAAGCUCUUUCACCGGUGGAGAUAAUGACGGUAACCGGAGAAGAAGCCCCGGCUAACUUCGUGCCAGCAGCCGCGGUAAUACGAAGGGGGCUAGCGUUGUUCGGAUUUACUGGGCGUAAAGCGCACGUAGGCGGACUAUUAAGUCAGGGGUGAAAUCCCGGGGCUCAACCCCGGAACUGCCUUUGAUACUGGUAGUCUUGAGUUCGAGAGAGGUGAGUGGAAUUCCGAGUGUAGAGGUGAAAUUCGUAGAUAUUCGGAGGAACACCAGUGGCGAAGGCGGCUCACUGGCUCGAUACUGACGCUGAGGUGCGAAAGCGUGGGGAGCAAACAGG
rnacentral:rRNA from 1 species